rnacentral:lncRNA from 1 species
AAUUAUUGCACACAUAUGAACUACUUAAAAUUGUACUUCGAUCUGUUGCGUCCUUAAAAUGUUCUGACCGUCCUAAGAUUUAAUGUACGGAAAUGUUUCGGGAAAUUAAAUUCAAAUCCGAAUUGAAUGUUUAUGACACACAAAAAGAGAAACCAGAAUCUCUAGAUGACCAAACGUAUGUGCACGUUGGGGCGAUUUAGAGCUUUUCAGAAGGAGUGAGA